rnacentral:rRNA from 1 species
AUGCUCGCAAGAGUGAACUAGCUAACUGAAAUCAAAGGUGUGUCACUUUUGAUAAGGUAAAGGAAAAUAAAUGAUACUACUUUACUAUUAGUGUCGUCCAAGUACUCGUGCCAGAAGACUCGGUAAGGCGAGAGACGCAAACGUUAGUCGUCUUGAUCAGGCGUAAAGGGUUUGUAGGCGGCUUUAAGAAUGGAUUCUUUCUAAAUUACAUUUUUCUAAAUUUAGAAUAACGUCCUUUGAAAGGAAAGGAAACAUCAAUUAAAGCUAGAAUCAAAUAGAGGUCAAUUUAAAUAAUACUUGGUGUAAGAUUGGUAUCUUUAAAAACCAAGCGGAAUACUAACGGCGAAGGCUUUUUUCCAUUAAUGAUUGACGCUGAGAAACUAAGGUGAGGACAGAAAAAAGGAUUAGAGACCCUCGUAUUCCUCACUGUCAACGAUGAAUGGUAGUUACUAGAUAUUAUUGAUAUAUAUUUAUUUUUCAUAUAUAAAUAUAUAACCAAAUCUAGAGGCGAUGUUAACACGAAAACCAUUCCGCCUUGUGAGUACGACUGCAAAGUUGAAAACAAAAAAAUUAGUCGGUUUCGGAGCAAACGAAGUGAAGCAUGUUAUUUAA